CAAGACUGUAGUAUCGGGGAGUGAGGGCUGGACCGGGGAGGCCUCCAAGGCCAGGUGAGGUGGUAGGGACAAGGAGCGGAGGUGGGAGGGAGCUUCUGUCUGGUGAAGAUCAUGGGUGAGAUAUUGCGUGCCAGACCAUCAAGCCUGGACUUGACCCCUGCAAGUCUUGCCCGGACACCAUUCAUCAGGGAACUGACUCAGAGAGCUGGAGCCAGGGGAGCAACAAUUCCAGAGACUUCCUUUGAGGGAUGAGCAAAGCCAGUCCCUAGAGAGGAAGGGAGUGGCCCAGGGUCACAAACACACUGGGUGUGGAGGGGUUCAGUUGCCCAGAUCCCCCUCUCACAGACCUCCCUGUCUCUUGUUCCCCCAUUCCCAGAGAGGUCCUAGGGCUGGUGGACCUGGUAGCCCUGGAGAAUGGGGAGCUGGGACCCCUUCUGUCUCCCGGCACCCUGCGGGGCUUGGAGGAUGAAUGUGUCACAGACGUUAAGGCUCAGACGCGCGCUGCCCUGCUUCGGGUGCUGCAGGAGAAUGAGGAGUACUGGGGGAGCACGGAGGACCGGCCCAGCAGCCUGGCGCAGGAUGUGUGCGAGCUGCUGGAAGAGCAUACAGNNNNNNNNNNNNNNNNNNNNNNAUUAGUACCCAGGAUCCAAAAGAGAGAGGAGAGAUGAAAGGCAACCAAGUAAGAAAGGGCAGGGGCGCGUCAGUGAGGAUCACAGGCUUUGCGGGGCCGAGUGCCCAGCCAGAGACUCUUCUCCAGCGGUGAUCCAUCUGUCACACGCCCACCCUUUCUCCUGUCCCCAGCUUCCAGCAGCGGGUGGAGCGAUUCCACGAGCAUCCAGGAGUACGGGAGCUGCUACCUGACACCUACAUCAGCAGGACCAUUUUCCUCGUCAAUUGUGGGCCCCCACUGAGGUGAGAGCACACAGUGGGGGUGGGGGUGGGGAGAGGGCCAGUGGCCCUGACAAGCUGAAUGGGGGUGCCCAGAUUCCAGGCAGGGAUCCCAGAGCUCGCCCAGAGCGACAGGCACAUGGGGCCUUAGAAGCAUAAAACCCUAGGCAGUCCUAGAAAGAACCUUAGCAUCACAGAGCGCUAGAAUUCUGGAGUGAUUGGAACAAGGGAGUGUUCUAAUUAUAGACACCUAGAAGCCAGACUCGAACACUCUAGGAAUUACAGAUUUCUUUUUUUUUGCCUUUUUAUCUUACUCUCCUUUUUUAUUAACUCAUUCUUCAUGCAUUUGAAAAAUCGGUUAUGCAUUCACAUGGGUCAAAAUUAGAGAUACAAUAGGGCAUACAGUGCAAAGCCUCCCUCCUACACGCUCCCCACCUUGCUUAUUGCUAGAGUCUGCCAUAUCUCUGCUGGGGCAUUUGAUAUAUUUACCCGUAAAUACGUGUAAAUAACUCUAUGCGUGCAUAUGCAUACCUCAUGCAUAUGCAUAUUUGUGUGUGUUCAUAUGCAUAUUUCAUGUGUUCACUACAUCUAUAUUCACAAGUGAAUAUAUUUCACUGUGUGAAUACAUAUUAUUCCUUUUCCUUAAAAAAAAAAAAAACACCUGCAAGUGGUAGACCAUUGAACACACUUUUGUGCCUUUCCCCUUAAGAGCUUGGAGACUUUCCUGUUAGCACAUGGAGUUCCCACA
ensembl:lncRNA